rnacentral:misc_RNA from 1 species
AAAUGCGAUAAGUAAUGUGCAUUGCAGAAUUCAGUGAAUCAUCGAAUCUUUGAACGCACCUUGCGCUCCUUGGUAUUCCUUGGAGCAUGCCUGUUUGAGUAUCAUGAAAUCUUCAAAGUAAAUCUUUUGUUAACUCAAUUGGUUUCUACUUUGGUAUUGGAGGUCUUUGCAGCUUCACACCUGCUCCUCUUUGUUCAUUAGCUGGAUCUCAGUGUUAUGCUUGGUUCCACUCGGCGUGAUAAGUUAUCUAUCGCUGAGGACACAGUAAAAGGUGGCCAAGGUAAAUGCAGAUGAACCGCUUCUAAUAGUCCAUUGACUUGGACAAUACUUUUAUGAUCUGAUCUCAAAUCAGGUAGGACUACCCGCUGAACUUAAGC